GAUGAACGCUGACAGAAUGCUUAACACAUGCAAGUCGAAGGGGAAGUGGUGCUUGCACCAUGGUAACCAUGGCGGACGGGUGAGUAACGCGUAAGGAACUUACCUUCGGGACCGGGAUAACAGCAGGAAACUGCUGACAAGACCGGAUAAGGUCAUUAAGCUGCAUAGCUUAGUGAUGAAAGGAGACGCCUGCGGAGAGCCUUGCGUCCUAUUAGCUAGUUGGAGGGGUAACGGCCCACCAAGGCGAAGAUAGGUAGCCGGCCUGAGAGGGUGGACGGCCACAAGGGGACUGAGAUGCGGCAGUUACUCCUACGGGAGGCAGGAGUGGGGAAUAUUGGACAAUGGGGGCAACCCUGAUCCAGGCAUUCUGUGUGCACGAAGACGGUUUUCGGAGUGAAAAGUGCUUGCAGCAGAGAAGAAGGAAGUGACGGUACCUGCAGAAGAAGCGACGGCUAAAUACGUG
rnacentral:rRNA from 1 species